rnacentral:rRNA from 1 species
GUGGCGGACGGGUGAGUAACGCGUGGGUAACCUGCCUUGUACUGGGGGACGAACAGUUGGAAACGACUGCUAAUACCGCAUAAGCGCACAGCUUCGCAUGAAGCAGUGUGAAAAACUCCGGUGGUACAAGAUGGACCCGCGUCUGAUUAGCUGGUUGGUGAGGUAACGGCCCACCAAGGCGACGAUCAGUAGCCGGCCUGAGAGGGUGAACGGCCACAUUGGGACUGAGACACGGCCCAAACUCCUACGGGAGGCAGCAUG